rnacentral:rRNA from 1 species
AACGAACGCUGGCGGCAUGCCUAACACAUGCAAGUCGAACGAGACCUUCGGGUCUAUUGGCGCACGGGUGCGUAACGCGUGGGAACCUGCCCUUAGGUUCGGAAUAACUCCCCGAAAGGGGUGCUAAUACCGGAUAAUGUCUUCGGACCAAAGAUUUAUCGCCUUUGGUUGGGCCCGCGUUGGAUUAGCUAGUUGGUAGGGUAAAAGCCUACCAAGGCGACGAUCCAUAGCUGGUCUGAGAGGAUGAUCAGCCACACUGGGACUGAGACACGGCCCAGACUCCUACGGGAGGCAGGAGUGGGGAAUAUUGGACAAUGGGCGAAGGCCUGAUCCAGCAAUGCCGCGUGAGUGAUGAAGGCCUUAGGGUUGUAAAGCUCUUUUACCCGGGAUGAUAAUGACAGUACCGGGAGAAUAAGCCCCGGCUAACUACGUG